rnacentral:tRNA from 2 species
AGUAAGGUCAGCUAAUUAAGCUCCCGGGCCCAUACCCCGAACAUGUUGGUUAAAGUCCAGCCCUCACAA